rfam:Schistosoma mansoni strain Puerto Rico chromosome W, complete genome
GCACUUCUGAGGAGUCCCACAAGGAGACGAAACGGCCGUCCAGUGC